UAAAGGUUUAGUUGAGUUGAGUUUAGUACUGUACUAUGAAGUGGACAGAAUCUUCAAUUAUUUUCACUUUUAAUUUUGUACGUUAAAACUACCAUGAUAAUAUAACUAUACUUAAUUCUCCUUUUGAUGAUCAUCAGCCAUAUUUUUUAGAAUUUUCCAUCAAAUGUUUGGAAGAAUGAUUUCUGUUUGUUGCAUUUGCAAGCCUUGAACUUGCAAAAAGACUGCAAGUUGCAUGCUUGAGUGCAUUCAUUUCAUGAAAAAAAUGUUGAGCAACAGGACCAUCUCCCAGAUUUCCCUUCCUUCAUUUUCUUUGAAUCAAAUGUCUGGCUUGUGAUUGGAUUGUCUUGUUUGU
rnacentral:misc_RNA from 1 species